rnacentral:rRNA from 1 species
AGUGAACGCUGGCGGUAGGCCUAACACAUGCAAGUCGAACGGCAGCACAGUAAGAGCUUGCUCUUACGGGUGGCGACUGGCGGACGGUUGCUGAAUACAUCGGAAUCUACUUUUUCUUGGGGGCUAACGUAGGGGAACUUACCCUAUUACCGCAUACGACCUAAGGGUGAGAGCAUGGGAUCUUCGGACCUUGCGCGAUCGAAUGAGCCGAUGUCGGAUUAGCUAGUUGGCGGGGUAAAGGCCCACCAAGGCGACGAUCCGUAACUGGUCUGAGAGGAUGAUCAGCCACACUGGAACUGAGACACGGUCCAGACUCCUACGGGAGGCAGCAGUGGGGAAUAUUGGACAAUGGGCGCAAGCCUGAUCCAGCCAUACCGCGUGGGUGAAGAAGGCCUUCGGGUUGUAAAGCCCUUUUGUUGGGAAAGAAAAGCAGCAGGUUAAUACCCCGCUGUUCUGACGGUACCAAAAGAAUAAGCACCGGCUAACUUCGUG